AUUUGUAUUUACUGAUACCAGAUAGUGCUGUAGUGAAUGCAACAGAAGCAAUGCGGUAUUAAACAAAUUCUCCUCUACCAAUAACAAAAGUACAUUUUCAAAAUACUGGAUUAAUUGUUUUUUUUUAAAAUGAAGUACAACAGUCAUAAUUCAACCAAUUUCAGUGAUUCUGAAAACCCUAGCGAAGAUGAUAUCAUAUUGGAGGUUUCAACUUUCAUGACUUCUUUAAUAUUCACUGGAUUAGUAGGGAAUGUGAUUACAUUUUCGGCAGUGUGCUGUUACAAGCGAUUUCACUCACCAACAUACACGACCAUAGGCUGUCUGGCUAUCGCCGACUUUUUUACCCUGUUAACAAUGGUAGUUUUUCCCUGGAUCCUUACGGUAGGAUAUCAAUUGAAAUUUAACUGCUCCGAAAUUCCGAUGUUUUCUGAAUAUUUUGGGAUUUGCAUCGUACUUUAGUUCGCUGGGACACAUCCUUCUGCUGACCUCUCUCAGAUUUGUUUUAACAGUGCAUCCUUUCCAAAGUCGACAUUAUUUUUCUUCCAAGAUUAUUGUUGGCUGUUCACUGUCGUGCUGGGUAAUGAGUGUGUGUUUGGCGACAUCUUUAGCCUUUAUAUUCAGGGAAAUGGAGAAAAUUUUACGUAUCAACAUUCGAGUUUUUGUCGCUGUGACGUAUGCAUUAGGAAUGAUGAUUCCCUUGGUUGUAAUUGGAAAACUGCAUUAUUUAAAGAUCAAUAUCCACUGCUGAAGUGAAUGCAACAGACGGAAUGCAGCUUUAAACAGUUUCUGUUCUACGAAUAAUAGAAGUACAUUUUUAACAUGCGGAAUUAAUUGUGUUUUAAGAUGAAGUACAACAGUCAUAAUUCAACCAAUUUCAGUUAUUCUGAAAACCCUAGUGAAGAUGGUGCUACCAGUGAUAUAUCUGCAGUGUUUCUUUUCAUGAUUUCUUUGCUUUUCCUGGGAUUAGUAGGAAAUAUGAUUACGAUUUUGGCAAUGUGCUGUUGCAAACGACUUCACUCACCAACAUACACGGCCAUAGGCUGUCUGGCUAUCGCCGACUUUUUUACCCUGUUAACAAUGGUAGCUCUUCGUUUGAUCGUUAAUGAUUAUCAAGUGGAAUUGGAUUGCUCCGAAUGUUUGAGAUGUUUUAUGAAUAUUUUGGGAUUUGCAUCGUACUUUAGUUCGCUGGGACACAUCCUUCUUCUGACCUCUCUCAGAUUUGUUUUAACUGUGCAUCCUCUCCAAAGUAGACAUUACUUUUCUUCCAAGAUUAUUGUUGGCUGUUCACUGUCGUGCUGGGUAGUGAGUGUGUGUUUAGCGACAUCUUCAGCCUUUAUAUUCAAGGAAAUGGAGAAACAUUUACCCAUCAAAGCACAAGUUUUUGUCACCGUGACGUAUGCAUUAGGAAUGACGAUUCCCUUGGUUGUAAUUGGAAAGCUGCAUUGUUUAAAAAUAAAAGCACUGUCAUCAUCCACACUUGUACCACACAGCAAACACGUGCAGAAAAUGAAUCGUAUCCUGGCAGUCAUUCUUACAGUCUUUGUAUUUUAUGGAGUCAUGUUAAUUAUCAAUUCUAUUGUUUUCAGUUUAGAACAACUGACAUAUUUCAAAGGUAACCAUUCAAAUGUUAUUCACAUCAUCACCUUAUUUGCAAAAACACUGAAUUUUACCUGUAAUCCUAUUGUCUAUUUUGCGUUUUCUAUACGCUGCAGCAAAUGUUCCAAAAACUAAACAGAUUCAAUAUAAUGCUUCACCUGUUUUAGUUCUCUUAUAGCAUUAUCAUAGUCGUAAGUUUCAUUAACAUGUACAAAGUAUUCAAGAAGAAAUUUGUAAACAAUAAUCAGUGAAGUAGCUUUGUGUGAUUCUGACCAAAAACACGAGUACUGUGUAGUUUACGUAUAUAAAUAUAUAAAUUAUUUUACAUGGUUUAAUGCCAGAUUAUUUAAAUGUUUUUAAAUAUGUAUCAGAAGUCAGUCAGAGGCAAACUAGAAAUUCUUAUUCAAAUAUAUUGUAUAUACCCAGGGCAAAAACAGAAUAUUAUAGAAGAUCUUUCAGCAUUUCAGGGAGCACAGUGUGGAAUGCCUUGAGUCAAAAUAUAAGAAACUCAACGAGUGUUGCGUGUUUUAAGAGAAAUUAUCUUAGAGAUUAUCACCAUACUUUUUAAGCUUCAUUUUGUAUUCUAUUUAUCUUGCAUUCAUAAUUAUUUCUUAAGUUUAUAUGUAUUCUACUUCUUUUAAUCUGUGUUUAUUUUACUAAUAUCUGUCUGUAUGUAUGUUAUAUGCAGGACCAUAUUGAAAACUAGCGUUAUCGCUAAAUAUGUAAUCCUGGAUAAAUAAAGGCUUUAUUAUUAUAUUAU